AGUAAAGUCAGCUAAUGUAAGCUUUUGGGCCCAUACCCCAAAAAUGUCGGUUAAACUCCUACCUUUACUA
rnacentral:tRNA from 1 species